rnacentral:misc_RNA from 1 species
GAUGAAGAACGCAGCGAAAUGCGAUAGGUAGUGUGAAUUGCAGAUGUAACGUGAAUCAUCGAAUCUUUGAACGCAAAUUGCACUCUCUGGUAUUCCGGGGAGUAUGCCUGUUUGAGGGUCGCCAAAUCAACAUCGAAAUUCAUUUGCUUUUGUAAAUGUUUAUCGGAUUUGAGCCGUCUUUUAUUUUUUUAAUUAAAGUGGCUUAAAAUGUAUUUUUUGGUAUCGAAAAACGUUAUUUUACGAUCAAAUUGAUUAAAAAAACAAACGUUUCGAAUGCCGUCUUUUAAUGUAAUACGCUUGACUGUGGUGUUAAUCAUAGUUUCAUUCGUAUACGAUUUUUUAAUUUUUGACCUCAAAUCAGGUAAGAACACCCGCUGAACUUAAGCAUAUCAAUAAGCGGAGGA